AUUUAAGUAGUUUAUUAGAACUUUGUAUUGAAGAUACAGGGGAGGAUUAAAUUAAUCCCUUAAAUA
rnacentral:tRNA from 1 species